UAGGGCGUUUAGUAUUUGGUCGUAGACCCGAAACCAGGUGAUCUACCCUUGGUCAGGUUGAAGUUCAGGUAACACUGAAUGGAGGACCGAACCGACUUACGUUGAAAAGUGAGCGGAUGAACUGAGGGUAGCGGAGAAAUUCCAAUCGAACCUGGAGAUAGCUGGUUCUCUCCGAAAUAGCUUUAGGGCUAGCCUCAAGUGAUGAUUAUUGGAGGUAGAGCACUGUUUGGACGAGGGGCCCCUCUCGGGUUACCGAAUUCAGACAAACUCCGAAUGCCAAUUAAUUUAACUUGGGAGUCAGAACAUGGGUGAUAAGGUCCGUGUUCGAAAGGGAAACAGCCCAGACCACCAGCUAAGGUCCCAAAAUAUAUGUUAAGUGGAAAAGGAUGUGGCGUUGCCCAGACAACUAGGAUGUUGGCUUAGAAGCAGCCAUCAUUUA
rnacentral:rRNA from 1 species